UAAUCGACUAGGUCGAUUUGAUCGAUGCUUCGAUCAGUGAUAUGAUUGCUUGGGUGCCUAUUAUGAAUUGUACUGACUUGCAGGUGAGAUUUGAGGCCAAGGUAAGUCCCCUGACCUGUGCAUGUUUAGGCAGCCUAUAGUAUAAUGGUUUACUAAUCGGGCCUUAGUGGGGGUAGAACUCGCUGAGACGUAGUCUCAUCCCGGUUUGGGGAAAAUCAUUUCAGGACCCCGCUGAAGAGCUGAGGAGAAGGAGUCUGAGAAGGAUUUUUGGAAGAAGAAGAUAAUUCCGAGAGGGAUCUUGAGUACGAUCCAGAUGGGCUGAGAUUCUAUCUUCUUUUGAGAUCUCCAUUUUGAUGUGAAUAGAGAUAGAGUAAAAAGUUGUGAAGUACUUUGGUUUGCGUUUUGUAUAAAAGUUUGGUUAUUAGUUUCAAUA
rnacentral:lncRNA from 1 species